rnacentral:misc_RNA from 1 species
CUUCAUUGUUAUGGUGUGAGGUGAACAGUCAGUAACAGACAGUACGGCGUCCACCGCCUUUCUCAAAAACAGUCCGCGAAAAAGAACAACGAACCCCCACCAUCUAUUCAUAUUUCAUUUUCAAUUUUCUCUCUUCCCAUUCACAUUUAUCUCACAAAACCCAAAUUCCAUUAGUGAUUCAGAACAAUGCAACCUCAAAUUCCUUUUACCAGCCCAAAUGACAUCAUCAUGGAAUAGGGCAAUUUUUUACGUCCUUUCUACCUCCUCCCAAUCGAUUUCUUACGUGGGUUUUGGGUUUUCGAAAAGGGUUUUCAUUGUUUUCUUCAAUAUCUCUUUACACUGAUAUAUUCUAUAUAUAUAAUAUUUAUAUGUUUGUAUAUUUUACGUUUCUUUGAUGAUGGGGAAACUGGCUGAGAGAGAGAAAAGGAUUGUAGAUAACAUAUUGCGAGAUGGAGACUUGUUGAAUGAUGUCCCUUAUGUGCCAUAUUUUAAUCUUCUUCUUCAACAAAAGCCUCCUUUUAGCGGUUCUUCCGUAAGUAGAGUUUCUCUGCGAUCACCAGAGCACUCUUCCUCUUCCAGUUCCUUCUCAAAUGAGUUUUGUUCACCCGAGUGUGGUUCACCAUAUGUUGAGAGAGAAAAGAGGGUUGCAGAGAACGUGAAGAAAGAUGGAGAAUUGUUUAAUGAUAUGCCAUGUCUUAGUCUUAUUCGUCAACAGAAGCUUCUUUCGAGUGGUUAUUCUGCGAGUAGAGCUUCUCUGCAAUCGCCAGAGUGCUCCCCUUCUUCGAGUUUAUUCCCAAGUGGAUUUUGCUCACCUGAGGAUGGUUCACUGUAUACUGCUCCUUUAUCUGAGGAGGCCAAGUAUCGCACUCGAGGUUCACAUUACUGGAAUGGACUGUGUUUGGAUUCUAAAUCACCUCAUCAUGAUUCCUAUGAGAUCAAUGGGAGGUCGUUUGAUGAAAUGGGCUUGUCUCAAAGUUUCUGCGGAAUGAGUAUUAGAGAUGACCAAAAUGGUGGUACAAAAAUGAAGGGAUUCAAGAUGGACUCAGAUGAAUUUGGGUUUGGCUUUGACAAUGGUUCUUUGGGUGGAAGUGUACAAUACAAUGUUAAAAAAUAUGGCUUAUAUGGGGGUUUCAACGAUGGGGAUUUUGAUAUUGAAGGUUUUCAAUCCUCUCCUCAUGGAGUUCCUUUGAGUUCUUAUGAUGAUGCAAAACAUGCAUUCAAUGGAUUUCAGAGUGGAUUUGGAAAGGAUGCUUAUGACUCAAUAGGGUCUUCUUUUGCUUAUAGUCAGCCUAUUGAUUUGUGUUCUGGCCAUGGAAGGUAUGAUAAUCAAAGUGAUUAUCUAUUGGAGAAUAGAAAGGAACAGGUAGGAAGUUGGAGUCAUUGGGGGAAUCAAUCGCAGAACCAAUCUAUUACUUGGCCUUACCUUGAUGAUCCUCCUAGUUUCUCUUCGCAUUAUAAAAUGGCUUCUAGUGGGGUCAGGGGUGUCAUGGAUUCUUCGGGUGCUCCUCAGUUGAUGAAUCCAAUGUUGGAUUUGGAUGUUUAUCAUCCAUUGUAUAGAAGUUUGAUGUUAAAAGAAAGGAUCAGAGCAAUCACAAACAAUGGGUUUUCUCAUUCUCUUAUGUCUAUGAAAGGUGCAGGGGGUGCUGAAGCCUUUAGCUGUGAGGACAGUUUCAUAAUUCAAGGAAAAGGUUUGAGUCAUGUUAACAACAAAGGACGUGAACCCUUGAUCAGUGACAAAAAGAAUUCCUUCAAUGAGACGUCUGUGGAAAACCUCCGUGGGAAAAACAUUAAACCAGAUAGUGCUAUUUUUCAUGGUGGAAGUUGGGAAAAUGACCAAAGGCUAAACAGUGAUAACCCAUUGCCAAUGGUUCCAAGUAUUAAUUCCUUAAGUGAGGUCCAGGGAAAUAUAUACUUAAUGGCACAGGAUCAGAAUGGUUGCAGGUGGUUACAGAGGAUUUUUGAUGAGGGAACAAGCGAAGAUGUGCAAAUAAUAUUUAAUGAAAUUAUUGAUCAUGUUGUGACUCUUAUGUUGAAGCCAUUCGGCAACUAUGUUAUCCAGAAGUUAUUGGAUGUGUGCAAUGAAGAACAAAGAUUACAGAUUGUGUUCAUGGUGACCAAAGAACCAGGACAGCUUGUUGGGAUUUGCUUGAACACAUAUGGCACACGAGCGGCACAGAAGUUGAUUGAGACUCUCAAAACCAGGCAGCAGAUUUUAUUUGUGGUAUCAUCCCUAAAACCUGGUUUUCUUGAUCUUGUCAAGGAUCAAAAUGGAAAUCAUGUGAUACAGCGUUGCUUGCAAUGCCUUAGCAAUGAAGACAAGAAGUUUAUUUUUGAUGCUGCUGCAAAGUUCUGUGUUGAGAUUGCAACUCAUCGACAUGGAUGCUGUGUUAUUCAACGUUGUAUUACACAUUCCACUGGGAAACAUCGAGACAAAUUAAUAACUGAAAUUUCAAAAAAUUCGAUUCUUCUUGCUCAAGAUCCUUUCGGAAAUUAUGUUGUGCAAUAUAUUAUAGAGCAAAAGAGCCCGUCUGCCAUUGUCAAUUUGCUUUCUCAAUUUAAAGGGCACUACGUACACCUCUCCAUGCAGAAAUUUAGCAGUCAUGUGGUUGAAAAGUGCCUUAAACAUUUGAACGAGAGCAGAGAACAAAUUGUUCGUGAAUUGAUCUCAGUGCCACGGUUUGAACAGCUAUUGCAAGAUCCAUUUGCCAACUAUGUCAUUCAAUCUGCCCUGGUAGUUACUAAGGAGGGUCCUCUUCAUUCUUUACUGGUUGAUGCAGUCCGACCCCAUGUGAUUUUACGUACCAACCCAUACAGUAAGAGAAUUUUCUCAAGGAAUCUUUUGAAGAAAUGAUGUAAUACUGGUCUGCGGUAAGAAGUGUUGUUGUUAUGUCAAAGUCACAACCUUGUUCACUACUAAUAAAUAAUCUAUCAAAUGAGGGCCACUAGAUGUAGAAUGCAUCAAAAUUCGCUGCUGAUAUCCUGGUUAGAAAUUUCUCAACUCUCUUUAUCUGUCUGAAGAACAGAAAUGGAAUUUUUGUGAUGCAGAUACAAACUUGUAUUAUUUUGUUGUCUUGUAGUCUUGUUUAUCUUACUUCAGAUGUAUUAUAUUUUGCUCGAUCAGAAGCUCAAGUAUCUGCUUCCAAGUUUUGUAAUAUGAUACCAGGAUAUUUUCCUUGAUCAUGUCUCCCACUGUUUCUGAAGUUGAAAAUGCACAGAAAUUUGUCUGUCAUUUUAGCAUGGCGUAGCUUGGUUACAUUUGAAAGAAAAAGCUGUUUUAAACUGUUGAUGUUUCAAAUCGAAAUUGGGUGAUUUUAAA